ACGCUCGACACCUACGGGAGGCAGCAGUGGGGAAUAUUGCACAAUGGGGGAAACCCUGAUGCAGCGACGCCGCGUGAAGGAAGAAGUAUCUCGGUAUGUAAACUUCUAUCAGCAGGGAAGAAAAUGACGGUACCUGACUAAGAAGCCCCGGCUAACUACGUGCCAGCAGCCGUGGUAAUCUGAGCGGGCUGGCAAGGC
rnacentral:rRNA from 1 species